rnacentral:rRNA from 1 species
GCAUAUCAAUAAGCGGAGGAAAAGAAACCAACAGGGGAUUGCCUCAGUAACGGCGAAGUGAAGCGGCAACAGCUCAAAUUUGAAAUCUGGCCCUAGGCCCGAGUUUGUAAUUUGCAGAGGAUGUUUCUGGCGAGGUGCCUUCCGAGUUCCCUGGAACGGGACGCCAUAGAGGGUGAGAGCCCCGUACGGUUGGUCGCUAAGCCUCUGUGAAACUCCUUCGACGAGUCGAGUAGUUUGGGAAUGCUGCUCUAAAUGGGAGGUAUACGUCUUCUAAAGCUAAAUACCGGCCAGAGACCGAUAGCGCACAAGUAGAGUGAUCGAAAGAUGAAAAGCACUUUGAAAAGAGGGUUAAAUAGUACGUGAAAUUGUUGAAAGGGAAGCGCUUAUGACCAGACUUGGACCGGUUGAUCAUCCAUCGUUCUCGGUGGUGCACUCUGCCGGUUCAGGCCAGCAUCAGUUUGUCCCGGGGGAUAAAGGCUUUGGGAAUGUGGCUCUUCGGAGUGUUAUAGCCCACUGCGUAAUACCCUGGGGUAGACUGAGGUUCGCGCUCCGCAAGGAUGCUGGCGUAAUGGUCAUCAGUGACCCGUCUUGAAACACGGACCAAGGAGUCGUCUUCGUAUGCGAGUGUUCGGGUGUCAAACCCCUACGCGGAAUGAAAGUGAACGUAGGAGAGAGCUUCGGCGCAUCUCCGACCGAUCCUGAUGUUCUCGGAUGGAUUUGAGUAAGAGCAUACGGGGCCGGACCCGAAAGAAGGUGAACUAUGCUUGUAUAGGGUGAAGCCAGAGGAAACUCUGGUGGAGGCUCGCAGCGGUUCUGACGUGCAAAUCGAUCGUCAAAUAUGAGCAUGGGGGGCGAAAGACUAAUCGAACCUUCUAGUAGCUGGUUUCCGCCGA